rnacentral:rRNA from 1 species
UAACAAGGUCUCCGUUGGUGAACCAGCGGAGGGAUCAUUACUGAGUUUACGCUCUAUAACCCUUUGUGAACAUACCUAUAACUGUUGCUUCGGCGGGCAGGGUCUCCGUGACCCUCCCGGCCUCCCGCCCCCGGGCGGGUCGGCGCCCGCCGGAGGAUAACCAAACUCUGAUUUAACGACGUUUCUUCUGAGUGGUACAAGCAAAUAAUCAAAACUUUUAACAACGGAUCUCUUGGUUCUGGCAUCGAUGAAGAACGCAGCGAAAUGCGAUAAGUAAUGUGAAUUGCAGAAUUCAGUGAAUCAUCGAAUCUUUGAACGCACAUUGCGCCCGCCAGCAUUCUGGCGGGCAUGCCUGUUCGAGCGUCAUUUCAACCCUCAAGCUCUGCUUGGUGUUGGGGCCCUACAGCUGAUGUAGGCCCUCAAAGGUAGUGGCGGACCCUCCCGGAGCCUCCUUUGCGUAGUAACUUUACGUCUCGCACUGGGAUCCGGAGGGACUCUUGCCGUAAAACCCCCCAAUUUCCAAAGGUUGACCUCGGAUCAGGUAGGAAUACCCGCUGAACUUAAGCA